AUGCCUGUUUGGUUUUAGGUUGGGGUGACCACGGAGUAUAAAACAACCUCCAUGAAAAAAGGACCAAAAAUCCUUAUAGAGAAAGACAUUUCUAAAAUUAAUAAAUUAAUUUUUAAUGAUCCGAUAUUCGAUCAACGAACCAAGUUACCCUGGGGAUAACAGCGCAAUCCACUUCAAGAGCUCCUAUCGACAAGUGGGUUUACGACCUCGAUGUUGGAUCAGGGUAUCCUAGUGGUGCAGCAGCUACUAACGGUUCGUUUGUUCAACGAUUAAAACCCU
rnacentral:rRNA from 1 species